rnacentral:lncRNA from 1 species
GCCUGUGCUCUGGAGCUUGAUCCGAAAGCUUCCACAGUGAGGACUGCUCCGUGGGGGUAAGAGAGCACCAGGCACUGAGGCCUGGGAGUUCCACAGACCAACACCCCUGCUCCUGGCGGCUCCCACCCGGGACUUAGACCCUCAGGUCCCUAAUAUCCCGGAGGUGCUCUCAAUCAGAAAGGUCCUGCUCCGCUUCGCAGUGGAAUGGAACGGAUUUAGAAGCCUGCAGUAGGGGAGUGGGGAGUGGAGAGAGGGAGCCCAGAGUUACAGACGGCGGCGAGAGGAAGGAGGGGCGUCUUUAUUUUUUUAAGGCCCCAAAGAGUCUGAUGUUUACAAGACCAGAAAUGCCACGGCCGCGUCCUGGCAGAGAAAAGGCUGAAAUGGAGGACCGGCGCCUUCCUUAUAAGUAUGCACAUUGGCGAGAGAAGUGCUGCAACCUAAACCAGCAAUUACACCCAAGCUCGUUGGGGCCUAAGCCAGUACCGACCUGGUAGAAAAAGCAACCACGAAGCUAGAGAGAGAGCCAGAGGAGGGAAGAGAGCGCCAGACGAAGGUGAAAGCGAACCACGCAGAGAAAUGCAGGCAAGGGAGCAAGGCGGCAGUUCCCGGAACAAACGUGGCAGAGGGCAAGACGGGCACUCACAGACAGAGGUUUAUGUAUUUUUAUUUUUUAAAAUCUGAUUUGGUGUUCCAUGAGGAAAAGGGAAAAUCUAGGGAACGGGAGUACAGAGAGAAUAAUCCGGGUCCUAGCUCGCCACAUGAACGCCCAGAGAACGCUGGAAAAACCUGAGCGGGUGCCGGGGCAGCACCCGGCUCGGGUCAGCCACUGCCCCACACCGGGCCCACCAAGCCCCGCCCCUCGCGGCCACCGGGGCUUCCUUGCUCUUCUUAUCAUCUCCAUCUUUAUGAUGAGGCUUGUUAACAAGACCAGAGAGCUGGCCAAGCACCUCUAUCUCAGCCGCGCCCGCUCAGCCGAGCAGCGGUCGGUGGGGGGACUGGGAGGCGCUAAUUAAUUGAUUCCUUUGGACUGUAAAAUAUGGCGGCGUCUACACGGAACCCAUGGACUCAUAAACAAUAUAUCUGUUG